AACAAAUGCUUAGAAAUUUUUUUCCCUGUGAAGGUUAGAUAGGUGUGCUCCAACUCUAGAGAUAUGAAAAUGUUGAACUUCCAGCACCAUCCACAUUAACAUGUAAAUUUUGCUCUGGUAAGAGAUGUCGUUGAUCCAGAAAAUCGCCAAUCACAAACAGAUUAACCAACAGAUUCUACUUGACAAGUUUCAUAUUGAAGAAUAGAUAAAUAUGAAAUUCUCAUAGGUGAGUAUAACAAUUUGAUUGAGCAAAAUGAAUAUUAGUAACUUUAAACCCAUAGGUUGCUGGCUAAUGUUUCUAUGUUCUUAUCAAAUAGUAGAAGUAGUUUGAAUUAGAUGAUAUCUUCUUCUAAAAACAGAAUCAUUCAGGACGUAUGCAAUUCAUUGAUUCGCUUAUGGUGCACUUGAAGACUUUGACCUUGCUGUAAAAAAGGUAAGGCAGGCUAAUCGUUCCUUCUAGAGUUUGCUCAUAACUGUGUUAAUUCCUCCUUCAGUUGAAAGUAAGAUGUGAUGAUACACGAAUAAGUCCUUGAACUAGUUAUGUAUUAUUUCCUUAAAGAUGUCAUUUGUAUUGAAAAUACUACCUCUAAAGUAAAUUGUAGUUGCCUUGUCACUCGAAAAUGGAAGUGUGUUGAGAAAUUGAUCAUAGUUUAAAAUGUCAAUGUACAGAGGGAAUAGUCUAAUAGCUGGUGCAAAGUGUCUAAGCAAAGUCCAUCCCAAAAGUCAUUUUAUAUUACUUAAUAGUUUAAAUUAAGUAAGGUUAUUUUGGUAUAUAUAAUAUUUUGCAAAGGAUAUUUUUGUUAGGAAGAAAAGUCAAAACUGCUUCUGCUUCUGUAGAGAAGCUACUUUUUUCUGCUUUUUCAAAACUGCCUUCUAGCCAAAAGCACUUGUUUUUCAAAAACAAGCUUGGCCAAACACCUCAAAUUUUUGAAAAAAAAGCACUUCUGGCAUGGUGAGAAACUUGGCCAAAAAGGCUACUAGUCCUCUGUUCACGGUAUCAGUUAUCAAUUGUUGUCCUACAUUGUUUGACUAAGAUGUGCAAGCCAGAUAUAAUGCUCGAGAAGUAGGCUUUGGAACUACCAACUAUACUUAUGGUCAUGUGGUAGAUACAUUAGUGGUUGUUGACUAAUCUUUCUAUUGUUAAGUUGAGAUUAAUGAAGUAUCAAAUAUAUGUUUAAUGAAACUAGGAUUAAUGAUAUUUUCAAAUAAAUUUACUACUUUGAGACUUGUAUUUCUUUACAAAUUCUCGUUGUAUAUGACUUUUGAGAAUUCCUUUUUGUCUAGACUUUUUGUUGCUUAUGAAGGGUGUACCCUUUGAUCUCAGCUAUCACCACAAAAAGAAUAUGCAUAAGUAGAGUUUAGAUCAUGAGCAUCGUUUGACAAUUAUGAAUUUCUGAAUUUUGUGCGCCUGGAUCAAACUAUUUUGUAUAACUUUGCUUAGUCAUGUUGUCUCUUUGCUUUCUUAAUUGUGUUUGGCAAUCUUUAUUGUGGUCACCCCUUUUACAGUUUACUAUCAUCAUUAAAUUAUGACAUUGUCACACUGAUUUUUUGUGUUUUUUUCCCUUAAUGACAGGGACAAGGCUCUUAAACAAAUCAUAAAUAUGGCACCGACCGAGGAGUUUGAAGGCACUUAAUUUUUUUUGGUCAUAUGUAUAUGUGUUUAUUGACAAUGACAAUGAUGUAUUUCGUAGUGUAUAU
rnacentral:lncRNA from 1 species